CAUGGAUCGGCGGCGCCGCGCCCUCUCUCCUGGAGCGUUGGGAUAGGGCCGUCCGAGCAGCCGGACCCCGCGGGUGAGCAACGCUGUUGCUCCCUCGCCAACCAGUGUAGCGAGGCCGCCGCCGCCAUGACCAGCUUACGUUUCCAGGAACAAAAUCAGAGAAGGAGCACCUUGUUUCCCUUUUCUUUCUCGAGGAAAAUCUCUGCGCGUGGUGGCCGGAAUUGCUUUUCUCGUCGUCGUUGCCGGGUGUUGAGGCCGCGUCGCAGCGCAUCUCGCCGUUACCUGGCCGUACGCCGUCGAUGCUUCACCGUGUUCGCGUUGCAAGCCGGUGGCGCGUCGCCACUGACGCCGCCUCCAAGUCGAAGGAUGCCGCUCCGCCACGUCCUGUCGUGGUCGCCUGUUCUCAGCGGAGAACGAAAGUGCUGAUAACGUGUUAAAAUGGAGAUCGAAGGAAAUCGACAAGUGAUAGAGAAAGAAUCAGUUUUCUUCAUUGAUCGAUGGAUUACAUAUA